UCUUUGGUGGUCUAGUGAUUAAGACGCUGCACUUUCAAAGCAGGGGUUCAAGUUCAAUCCCUGAUUGUGGAA
rfam:Ovis aries breed Texel chromosome 6, whole genome shotgun sequence.